GUAGGUGACGAGCAGGAUGAUGAAGACCACGGGGUACUUGGUGCUGCUCAGCAUCUCCAGGUCGCCCAUGCCGAUGGUCAGCUUGAAGAGGUCCAGGAGGAAGGUGCUGAAGGUCUCGCUGUCGCGGCACGACGGGACUUCAGUGGGGCUGGACCCCCAACCUGAAGCCCAACCUGCUGCUGAACAUUGACUCGGCCAGCUCUUCCCGGCCCCUCCUCUGUCCUAACCGCCACAGCCAGGGCUGUCCAGCUCUGCUUCCUCCAAAUAAUCCACACAGAGCUUCAGGACCAUCUGGGAUAAUAUGUCUCCACCAUCAGGUUCCUGCUGCCUGGCAGGUCCCCCCACGAAGCGGCUCAGAAUUUAGUGCAGCCUGGUCCAGCCUGAGUUGGCCACUCCCCACGGGAUAUGGGGCAUUGAGAGCAGAUCAGCCACUUCUCGGGGACCAGUCCAAUGACUCGCUCAGUCUCCCCGUCCUCGGCCCCUCCUGCAUGGCCUGUGCCAGUGAAGUCCCAGUGUGCCUCAGGUGGGCCUGAUGACAUCACCGAGAGGCAUACUGAAGGAAGCUGACACUGGACUUGUAUCCACGCCCCUUCAGUGUGGCCCUACGGCCCCCCCAUCAACGACUGGAGUCGAGCCAAGUACAGUGUAAUCCCAGCAGCUUGGGAGGCUGAGACAGGAGGAUCACAAGUUCAAGGCCAGUCUCAGCAAUUUAGCAGGACCCUGUCUCCAAAUAAAAAUAUUUUUAAAAGGGCUGCGGAUGUGACUCAGUGGGGCCUCUGGGCUCCAUUCCCAGUACUGAAAAAAAAAGUGAAGUCUAUUUCCCCACCUCCUGACUCAGAGCUGACCUUGGAGUUGCUUAACACAGUGAGGCAGCUGGAAUGCCAAGCCAGGCACGGGCCUUGAACACUUCUGCUCACUUUCUUGGGCCCUGAGACCACCCCCAUCAACCAGCCACCCUGGCUGGAGGAUGAGUGACCAUGUGGAAAACAACCAAGGCCACCCUGGCUACCCCUGUCUGUCGGCAGCCAGCCUUCCAGGUGACCACAGACGCGGGGACCCACGAGACCGGCCAACCCGGCCCCAGUCAGCACCAUCACCCAGCUGACCCACAGACUUGGGAGCAGAUGGCUGUUGUUUGAAGCCACUACGUAUCGUGGGUCUCCCAUUUUAUCACUAGCUUUUGAAGUUGGUCAAAUUAUCUAACCUUCCUGAGCCUCAGUUUCCUUAUCUGUGAAAUGGGAGAAUAAGGACAGCGGUCUCACGGGCUUGUCAGGAGGACGGGACUCGGCCCCGGGGCCAGCGCACCAGCCCGUGAUGGCUGCCUUUCCAGGCCCAGGCCACCCCCUCCCCCCAGGGUUCCCAGAACUCACCUGAAGCGUAGCCGAUCAUGAAGAGCAAGUAGACCAGCAGGAAGCGGAACAGGUCUUUGAAGAGGAUCUAAAGCCCCCCCAUGGGAUCACAGAGGCAAAGAGGAGACAAUGGUUUCUUGAUCUGCGGGCACCUGAGAGGGACACCCAAGCCCAGGGGACCCUCCACCCCAUACCUUCUGGAUCAUGAUGCUGUAGGUCCCCGUCAGCUUCAGCCCCCGAGUGAAGUACAGGGCAUUCAUCCAGCCCAGGACCAGGGCAAAGACCAUCACAGCCAGAAGAGAACAUGGAAUUGGAGAAGGAGGUGGAAGAGGAGCCGGAGGAGGAGGCUGGGCGGGCUGGUGGCACGGGGACCAAGCACUCACGUUGGUGAAGAAGAACAGGACCCCGGUGAAGAGUGUGAUGACCUCUCCUGCCAGUCUCAGGUAGUCCACGGUGGUGCGGUAAGGGUAGGGCGGCUGGGGAGCAGGGCACAGGGUCCUCACCCGCCCUCCACCUGGAUCCCGCGCCACCUCCUCCCUCUGUUCCCACAGGUCUCCCAUCUCAGAGCCACCCAUGUAGGGGCACCUCCUCUGCCUCUUGCUAACCUUCCCCAGGUCCUUCCCCCAGGGAACCCAGAUGGCUGGAGCCGCAGCCCCGCCCCCGCUCUGCCUGACUCCGAGCACUCACAGUGCCC